rnacentral:rRNA from 1 species
UACGGGGGGAGCAAGCGUUGUUCGGAUUUAUUGGGCGUAAAGGGCGCGUAGGCGGCCACGCACGUCCGUUGUGAAAUCGCCCGGCUCAACUGGGCUAGGUCAGCGGAUACGGUGUGGCUCGAGCAAGCUAGGGGGCAAUGGAAUUCCCGGUGUAGUGGUGGAAUGCGUAGAUAUCGGGAGGAACACCAGUGGCGAAGGCGGUUGCCUGGAGCUUUGCUGACGCUGAUGCGCGAAAGCGUGGGGAGCGAUCCGG